GAUGUUUUGCUGCACUCAGAAGCUGAUUUCAUCUGGUGACGUAGAUGUUUGUACCGAGUCUCUAGCACCAUAUGAAAUCAGUGUUUUGGGGGUGGAC
rnacentral:miRNA from 1 species